ACACAUACAUACAUAUAUGUAUCUGCUUGGCACUCAUGUUUCCACACUCCUAUAUCCUUCCGCUCUUCUUCUAAUCUGUUCUUUCUUGCUGAAAUUGGCAGAUUUACAAAUUGUGUGGUUGGCUUUGUUCUUCUCCACAUCUGAAUUGGUUUCCAAAGUGCGUGGAGCUAAAACUUCCUCGUGAAGGAGCUGAUUUCUGCACGCAGGAUUGUUUCAAGGCAUCUUGGAGCUCUCACAAGUCUGUCCACUUGAAGGCAAAAUUAUCUUCUCUGGCAACUGAAACUUCAGGAGAACAAAAUGCAGCCUCACCUAGUGAUGGUUGGCUAUAUUGCUUGAGGAAAGGACAGGCUCGAACACUUCAUUUAUUCUGACAUUUGUUUGUUCUUCACGGUUUGUCGUUAUGACCUACCAGAGUCAAGUCUUGGCACAUUCUUCUUGACUCCAAGACAUGUUGAAGCCAGCGAAACUUAAAGUGGAGUUUCCUUAAUAAGAUACUGUAGCUGCUCUUUGUAUGUAAUGCCCUUCUAUGUUGCUAAGAUUUUGUGAAGUUGUUCUUGCUUGGUUUGCUGCUAUAUAUCAAGAAAGCAUCUUGUACUUGACUCUUAAUUGCACUUCUCAUGUGUUUGAUGGCAUGCUUUGCCAUGGUUUCAAGUGUUUUAGACUUUUUGCUUGGAUGAAA